AAGUCGUAACAAGGUUUCCGUAGGUGAACCUGCGGAAGGAUCAUUAACACGUAUCCAACGUUAAACCCCCCCGUGAACCUUUAUUGUGGCACGCCUAUCCGUUAGAAAGUGGCAAUCCCUGGUAAAUCAUCGCCGAACAGUUUUGAUUCAGGGACUUCUGCGUGGGUAGGACAACUGCGCGAGCAAGUGACCUGGCAUCCCUCUGCUUGUUAGUGUCUGAAAGUGUCACUAGCUCUGUACGGGUGGCGCAAUCACGAUCGCUAGAGGCCAACACGGCCGGCGACCGGGUCAAUGGGCCCUCGGCCCCCUAGGCCUGCGCUUAAUUGUGCGGCCACCAAACUCGAACAACUGUUAACAAUGGAUAUCUUGGUUCUC
rnacentral:misc_RNA from 1 species